GACGAACGCUGGCGGCGUGCUUAACACAUGCAAGUCGAGCGGUAAGGCCCUUUCGGGGGUACACGAGCGGCGAACGGGUGAGUAACACGUGGGUGACCUGCCUUUAGCUCUGGGAUAAGCCUGGGAAACUGGGUCUAAUACCGGAUAUGACCCUAUGGCGCAUGCUGUGGGGUGGAAAGCCUUGUGCGGCUAGGGAUGGGCCCGCGGCCUAUCAGCUUGUUGGUGGGGUGAUGGCCUACCAAGGCGACGACGGGUAGCCGGCCUGAGAGGGCGACCGGCCACACUGGGACUGAGACACGGCCCAGACUCCUACGGGAGGCAGCAGUGGGGAAUCUUGCGCAAUGGGCGAAAGCCUGACGCAGCGACGCCGCGUGAGGGAUGACGGCCUCGG
rnacentral:rRNA from 1 species